rnacentral:rRNA from 1 species
AGAGUUUGAUCCUGGCUCAGAACGAACGCUGGCGGCGUGCCUAACACAUGCAAGUCGAACGGAAUUGAGGUGCUUGCACUUCAAUUUAGUGGCGCACGGGUGAGUAACGCGUAGAUAAUCUGCCUGACGAUCUGGGAUAACACUUCGAAAGAGGUGCUAAUACCGGAUAAGCCCACGGAGUCUUUGGAUUCUGCGGGAAAAGGGGGGGACCUUCGGGCCUUCUGUCGUCAGAUGAGUCUGCGUACCAUUAGCUAGUUGGUAGGGUAAUGGCCUACCAAGGCUACGAUGGUUAGCUGGUCUGAGAGGAUGAUCAGCACACUGGAACUGAGACACGGUCCAGACUCCUACGAGGCAGCAGUGGGGAAUUUUGCGCAAUGGGCGAAAGCCUGACGCAGCAACGCCGCGUGAGUGAUGAAGGCUUUCGGGUCGUAAAGCUCUGUCAAUGGGAAAGAAGUGUAUUGGAGCUAAUAUCUCCGAUACUUGACGGUACCCAUAAAGGAAGCACCGGCUAACUCCGUGCCAGCAGCCGCGGUAA